UGACAAGCUCACCAUCAUCAUCCUCAUGGAGGUUGGAAUAAAAUGCUUGAACCAAUGUAGUAUUGAUGUAAGGAUGAGUAAGGAGUAAAAAAUCAAGAAGUUGAGAAUUUUUGAGCAUAUUUGCAGCAUGCCCAAAUGAUUCAAGAUACUUGUGGGUUGAAAAGCGGGGUGGAAGAAUGUCGCGCUUUUCAAAUUUGGUUAAGAAUCGAUAAGCUCGAUGUCGGAAUUAAAAUAAAGAACGGAACCAUCUUGAU
rnacentral:lncRNA from 1 species